UCCUCCAACUUGUCUAU
rnacentral:sRNA from 1 species